UUAAACACACUACGACUUUUUUUUUCUAAUUUGUAUUAUUCUUUGAGAAAACAAAGAAUGAUUAAACUUUAGAAAUAACAUAUUGUAUUAUUUAUAGUAACUGUUUUGUCACAUGGAAAGAGGCAAAGAAAAAAAGAAAAAGAAGAGUUCACAUUAAUAAGAUUUUCAUUUUAAUUCUUUUAACAAAAACAAACUAAAGAUCUUUAAUCUCUCACAUGCACUCCGUGAAUGCAUUACACUCAUUUAAAUCUGAAAAAUUAAUUAUACUUUCGGCGUAAUUUAUUUUAGAUGAGCUGAAACAUAAAAAUAAUAAAGAGUAUAAUACUAAUUAAAAUGUCCAAAAAAAUAUAUUUGAUUUUAAAAAGGUAAAAAGAAAAAGAAUACCUACGUUUCUCCGUCAUUGACUCAUAGCAACACUUCUGCCUUCAGAAGAAACAUAUGAUUAUUAGACCAUCGUUAUUGAUAAGGUAUUAGAGCAUUUUCUAUCGCAAUAUAUCCACGGACCUUAGGCCAUUAACCAAAACCUAAAAAAUUGAAACAAUGAAAUGCUAUGGUCCAUCCUGGUUUUUGUUAAGAUUUUUUUUAGAGAAGGCUCUUAUGCCACGUGUGGAGUGGUGAGAGGGCAUUAUUUUUUUUUUUUAGGGUAUUAUUUUUUUUGUAAAAGAAAACAUUUUUCUUUUUAUGUUUCUC
rnacentral:lncRNA from 1 species